UGUUGCAUUUCUGGUAAUUGCCAAAUGAGGGGUUUUGGCCCGUCUUGUGUGAGCUUUUUGUAUAAGGGUUUUGUUUUUUGGGCAUAAGAGUCUAUAUACGACGGUUUUUGACCAAUCCUGAAAUCUUCUAAGUUCUUUAGUCUUCAGCAGAGGCAAGAAUAUGAUGCCUUCAAUCCAUUCCAGCCGAGUUUUGCAUUUGCCUUUCUUAUUUAAAUGACUCAUUUUUAUAUUUGAUAAAAUAAAUUUGGAGACUUUGUAAAGCCAUGGGGUGAGACUGCCCAUCAGUAUUGCUAUUUCCCACCAGAAUCAGGGUCUCUCACUCAAAGGCAAAUAGGUCCUGGCUAUCCUCUGCAACGGACAAGCCUGGAGGCAUCUUUUAAAUCUCUUACUGUAGCUACAGGUGAUUGUGCUGGUAUAAGGAUUUGGAACAACAGGGUUUAAGAAACCCAUCGCAGAGAAGCCUUCCAAUUAUCAAGUAUAGGUUUUCUGCUUUUUGAGACAAGCUUUUAUAUUUUUAGUUGAGACGGGAUUUCACCAUGUUGGCCAGGCUGUACUUGAACGCGUCACCUCAGGUGAUCCGCCCACCUAGGCCUCCGGAAGUGCUGAGAUUACAGAGACGGGAUUUCACCAUGUUGGCCAGGCUGUACUUGAACGCGUCACCUCAGGUGAUCCGCCCACCUCGGCCUCCGGAAGUGCUGAGAUUACAGGCCAUGUCAAAGGAUGCCCUAAAUCUGGCACAGAUGCAGGAGCAGAAACUCCAAGUGGAGCAACAGUCCAAG
rnacentral:lncRNA from 10 species